rnacentral:rRNA from 1 species
AUGAGUGGUAGGGGAGCGUUCUGUAAGUCUGCGAAGGUGUAUCGAGAGGUAUGCUGGAGAUAUCAGAAGUGCGAAUGCUGACGUAAGUAACGAUAAAGGGGGUGAAAAGCCUCCUCGCCGGAAGACCAAGGGUUCCUGUCCAACGUUAAUCGGGGCAGGGUGAGUCGACCCCUAAGGCGAGGCCGAAAGGCGUAGUCGAUGGGAAGCAGGUUAAUAUUCCUGCACGACUUGUAAUUGCGAUGGGGGGACGGAGAAGGCUAGGUGGGCCAGGCGACGGUUGUCCUGGUGAAAGUGCGUAGGUGGUGUUUCUAGGCAAAUCCGGAGACACAACACUGAGACACGAGACGAACACACUACGGUGUGGAAGCCAUUGAUGCCCUGCUUCCAGGAAAAGCCUCUAAGCUUCAGAUUACAAGUCAUCGUACCCCAAACCGACACAGGUGGUCGGGUAGAGAAUACCAAGGCGCUUGAGAGAACUCGGGUGAAGGAACUAGGCAAAAUAGAACCGUAACUUCGGGAGAAGGUUCGCUCUUGACAGUGAAGUCCCUUGCGGAUGGAGCAGUUGGGAGUCGCAGUGACCAGAUGGCUGGGACUGUUUAUCAAAAACACAGCACUCUGCAAACACGAAAGUGGACGUAUAGGGUGUGACACCUGCCCGGUGCCGGAAGGUUAAUUGAUGGGGUUAGCGCAAGCGAAGCUCUUGAUCGAAGCCCCGGUAAACGGCGGCCGUAACUAUAACGGUCCUAAGGUAGCGAAAUUCCUUGUCGGGUAAGUUCCGACCUGCACGAAUGGUGUAACCAUGGCCAUGCUGUCUCCACCCGAGACUCAGUGAAAUCGAAUUCGCCGUGAAGAUGCGGUGUACCCGCGGCUAGACGGAAAGACCCCGUGAACCUUUACUACAGCUUGGCACUGAACAUUGAACCUACAUGUGUAGGAUAGGUGGGAGGCUUUGAAGGCGUGACGCCAGUUGCGCUGGAGCCGUCCUUGAAAUACCACCCUUGUAUGUUUGAUGUUCUAACGCAGGGCCCUGAAUCGGGCUCGCGGACAGUGCCUGGUGGGUAGUUUGACUGGGGCGGUCUCCUCCCAAAGAGUAACGGAGGAGCACGAAGGUUGGCUAAUCCUGGUCGGACAUCAGGAGGUUAGUGCAAUGGCAUAAGCCAGCUUAACUGCGAGACGGACAGGUCGAGCAGGUACGAAAGUAGGUCAUAGUGAUCCGGUGGUUCUGAAUGGAAGGGCCAUCGCUCAACGGAUAAAAGGUACUCCGGGGAUAACAGGCUGAUACCGCCCAAGAGUUCAUAUCGACGGCGGUGUUUGGCACCUCGAUGUCGGCUCAUCACAUCCUGGGGCUGAAGUCGGUCCCAAGGGUAUGGCUGUUCGCCAUUUAAAGUGGUACGCGAGCUGGGUUCAGAACGUCGUGAGACAGUUCGGUCCCUAUCUGCCGUGGGCGUUGGAUGAUUGAAGGGAGUUGCUCCUAGUACGAGAGGACCGGAGUGAACGAACCUCUGGUGUUCGGGUUGUCACGCCAGUGGCACUGCCCGGUAGCUAAGUUCGGAAUCGAUAACCGCUGAAAGCAUCUAAGCGGGAAGCGAGCCCUGAGAUGAGUCAUCCCUGACCCCUUGAGGGUCCUAAAGGGCCGUUGGAGACCACAACGUUGAUAGGUGGGGUGUGUAAGCGCAGUGAUGUGUUGAGCUAACCCAUACUAAUUACCCGUGAGGCUUAACCAUACAACACCCAAGAAGUGUUCU